AACGAACGCUGGCGGCAUGCCUAACACAUGCAAGUCGAACGAGACCUUCGGGUCUAGUGGCGCACGGGUGCGUAACGCGUGGGAACCUGCCCUUAGGUUCGGAAUAACUCCCCGAAAGGGGUUCUAAUACCGGAUCAUGUCUUCGGACCAAAGGUUUAUCGCCUUUGGAUGGGCCCGCGUUGGAUUAGCUAGUUGGUAGGGUAAAAGCCUACCAAGGCGACGAUCCAUAGCUGGUCUGAGAGGAUGAUCAGCCACACUGGGACUGAGACACGGCCCAGACUACUACGGGAGGGAGCAGUGGGGAAUAUUGGACAAUGGGCGAAAGCCUGAUCCAGCAAUGCCGCGUGAGUGAUGAAGGCCUUAGGGUUGUAAAGCUCUUUUACACGGGAUGAUAAUGACAGUACCGGGAGAAUAAGCACCGGCUAACUCCGUG
rnacentral:rRNA from 1 species